CUCCUCCCUCCUGGACAGACAGGUACAGAACACCUCUUGGUCCUGCUCUACUCUCCUCCCUCCUGGACAGACAGGUACAGAACACCUCUUGGUCCUGCUCUACUCUCCUCCCUCCUGGACAGACAGGUACAGAACACCUCUUGGUCCUGCUCUACUCUCCUCCCUCCUGGACAGACAGGUACAGAACACCUCUUGGUCCUCCU